UCUAAUAUGGCAGAAUAGUGCAAUGGAUUUAAGCUCCAUAUAUAAAGAAACCCUUUUGUUAGAA
rnacentral:tRNA from 1 species